GUGUGAGAUGCAAGUGUAUCAUCAAAAGGAUAUAGAAUCAGUUGUUAUUGUAUCUUAAAUCAGGUUGAAGUCUUUUAUGAAAUUUGUGUUCCUGAGCUGGAAUAUGGUUGAAAAGUCGGAGCUGAUUUAAAAAAAAUAUUCAUUUAUGUGAUGAGGGGAAUCAGCCAGAAAUGCAGAUUCUAAGGUCAUGAGUAUAUAGUUGGUUUGAAGCAAGUGUUUGUAUGCUUGGUGUGCUGGCAGGAUUCCAGUAGGAAACAGCUGGUAUGGUGUAAUGCGUAUACACGAAAGAAGUCAUGUGUCUGAAGAGAACCAAUAAUGCAAGAUUCUGCUCUAAGAGGCAGUCUUAUCAUAUAUGGCAACAGUGCAAAAGACUUCUAUGAGAUAACCAAUACAGAAAGUAUAUAUACACUAUUCGUAGAUCACAACAUCUGCUAUACUAAAUGUCAACACACUAAUGGAAUUCUCAGCUAGGGUAAUAAACAUUAAUAAACUAUUUUAAUAUAGCUGAAAACUUUGUUUGUUUAUUAUUAUUUUUAUUUUAUCAGAGGGGUUCACACACAACCACAAAAUCCUAGUAACAGAGUAUUACAGAUCUCUAUGAGGAGCUUACUUUUUAAAAAAUGGCACAAAAAGAGACUGAAGGCUUGUUGACCCCAAAAUUUGAUUUGAUGCAUUUUGAACAAUUUAAAUCCAUCAAAUCUGUCACUCAAAUGUUUUCUCUUUGCUGGUUGUGUAAAUCAAAAGGAAAACCCUAAACUAUUUUCAAGGCUAUUUUUCAUAUCUGUAACCACACAUUGUACCCAUGUACAGUAUCACCAGAGACAGCAUUAGAGAACAGUUCUAGCAGAAAACAAUGCCAAGGAACUUAGUGAUGUCACCACCGAUUGUAUCUUUCAACAAUGUGUCCUUCAGUUUGGUUCACGGCCUCGCAUUGCCAGCGGUACAAUGGAAACCACUGUCCUACCGGCCCCCAGAUAGGGCUGCGGCCUCCUACAGCAGUUUCUAUCCAUUCACUUCAUACAGGGGAGGUAUGUGGCCUUCUGGAGCCCACGUCGUCCUUCUCAACAACGGCUUUUUGCUGCUACAUGGGGGUUGUACCGAAUGCAUUUAGCAUUCUGGUCCCAUCCCAACACUUGCUGCGUGGAUCCGUCACACCCUGCCAGGCAUUGUCUGUGCAAGUGUGCUGCUACAAGGGUAUGUGAUGAGCCAUUACAUCUUUGUCCUGUGAAACCAAAGGAGCAAAAAAAAAAAAAAAAAAAAAAAAAACUAACUUCCCCAAGCAGAAGAGACAAGAUUUAACCCCAACGUUCUCAACAUCUCCCAGGCUGGCUGCUGCGGGAGGAGAUCCCCUGCUCCACCACGAAUUGGUUCUCCUUCACCAUGGGUAACACCAGCUUUACAGAGGGCAGGACAGCCCUCAACCUGGGAAGCACGUCCAUCAAGAGGGAGAAGAGUAAGAUUUUGAUGGGCAACAGCUCGAUCUCUCGUGGGAAGAGCACCACAUCCCUGGGCUCCUCAACCAUUACUAGUGGAAAGACCAAGAUCUCCCUGGGGAAUGCUUCCUACAGCAGAGGCACCAAGACCACAUCCUUCCGAAAGGCAUUCAUGCCCAAAAGGAAGACUCUUUAACAGGGAGUGGGGCCAAAUUGUCUGGUUAAGGGUGUAUGGGGAGAGUGUGGGGCAUCAGGAAGGUGGAGGGGAGUUUUCUACAGUGUCUCAAAUACCAAAAAUAUCAAAGAAAACUGAAGCCAAAGCAUCAUCACAACGGAAUUCUGAGGGGGUUAUUUUGGGCAUCAAGUUAAUUUAUUUUUUCGACACCCAGAAACUCUGGGAUUCAAUUCGACAUCAAGAUAUCUUCUGUUCCAGAAACUGCUUUGGAUUAAGUCAUAGAUGCAGUACCUUCAGGAUCAACUGACUUUAUGGGGUGCCUCCAUUCUUGAAGCUCAACAGCAGACAUAAAACUUUUCUCCAAAUCUUUGUCAUUACACGCCAAGACCACACCAGAUCAGGAACUAUAAAUAUGAAUUUAGUUGAUUCAUCUCUACAAACAGUUUGGUCAUGAAGCCCAUAACAUCUAAUAUUCAGUUUUCCAUCAAGUAUGACGAAGUUAAAUGUCUAUUGCAUGUGUUAAGUAAAUGGCAAAUGUAUGUAAAUUCUGAGGGUUGACAGAGGUUGAGAUUAGAGGGUUUGACAUCCUGUACUGAACAUAGAGUCUAUAAAGGAGUGAUGAUUGGUCAAUAUUAGGAAAUUCAGAAAGCAAGAAGUUGGGGUAAAUAUAAAUGUGAUUUAAGGACAGAGACUAUAAGAGAGUAAUGAAAUCACAAACACAAAAAUAGUGUUUGGAUCCAUUCCAUACCACAACGUUUGUUUGUUUUUUAGCAUUUUAAUUAACCCAAAUUUUUAUUAUAAUUACGGCAUUUCAAUGGUCUCAAACUCAUUCAGCAAUCUUUAAAGUGAGACUGGAAUUUAUAUUAUAAUAAAUCUUUCCUGGUGAGCACAAACUAUCUUUUCAAAAAAUAAAAAGAGAGACGCAGGAGAAGUUUGGAGAAGGAAACAAGUCACAGCAGUGAAGUGCCUUGUACCUGUCUCUGAAGGGCACUCCAGAUAACAAGUGGUUCACCUUAAAUACCAUGUUACCUCAUGUUUCACACAUCAAUUCAUUUCUUCCUUCGAAGCUAAAUCCCAGGUUCUCCCUCACGAUGGGAGGAAAAAGCUCAAGAAUGCAACAAGAAAUAAAUAAUAAACAAUUAUAAUACAAUAUUAAUGUUAAAAUGUUAUUUUGUCUUAGGUUGAACAUGCUGCCACCACCAACUUCCCUAAGCAUCUGCCACAUGAAUUAGCCUUCUAUACGAGACAAAUUACUUCUAUUCCUCCUAUUCAACAGCCUGCACUUCUGCCUAGUUUCCACAACAGCCUUUGUCUUUUUAAACAUCUUUACAUAAUGUUUUGAGCAAGGGCCAUUGUUCCCUGGACUUACACUCUUAUUUGCAACUCCAGGAAUCAAUGAAUUCAGGGAAGAGACUUAUUUUAUGCUAAGCUCAAAAUGUUUUCUUUACGUUCUUGCUGAAAUCGUGUCAUGCAAAUUUUCAUUCAGCCCUCAAACAUGUGGAGACUUACUUAAAACAGAGACUUUCUUCAGACCUGCUGGAACUCCGACCUCUCAUCUUUUACCUGGAAAAGAAGUCAUCAUGCCCCACGCAAAACCCCAGGAUCACCCUGUGAUGAUGAUGAUGAUGAUGAUGAUGAUGAUGAUACCACUUACUCCUGUGUUACUGUCCUUAUAUUGUGUUUUAUAUCACUGUAUUCAUGUCAUAUAAAUGGAGAUCAUAAUAAUCCAUGCAUAAAGUGACUCAUGCUGAUACAGGAUCAGCGCCCUCAUUGUCUAUAUAACAUUGGGAAAUGAAAGCCAAAAACUGAUCCCAGUUAGAACAGUCUCUUAAUUUCUAUACCUAUGAUUUCAGAAGUAUGCGCCUCUGUAGAAUGUGUUGUAAGGCACCGAUACAGAUGAAAUGCCCUAAAAAUACUUGUUUUAUUUCGAAAAGGUAAACGUAAACCGUGUCGGCAUGUAAAACUGUGUGUAGUGUGGAUUAUGUCUGUGAAAUGUGUGAAAGGUCGAAGGGUUUUUUAAAAAACAACAACUACAUCAUAACUAAUGCUUUAGACAUUAAUGUUGAUCCACCACAGAUGGGACAGGUUGGGCAAGGACAAGUGAAACCAACUGUGUUUUUAAACGUCUAAUCAAGUUUAGUCGUUCUUCAUGUAGCCUACAAGCCUGUUCAGACAGUGGUGCUGGGAAAUUUGUCCCGUAUUUAAAAACGCAAA